rnacentral:lncRNA from 1 species
ACUGGGGUUCAAGUCUCUCUGGCUGUUAAAUCGGCGGGGGUGGGGUAGGGAAAGACAUCCAUCAGAGACAGCGACAGGGAGGGAGCAGCCUUGUGAAGGAAAAACCAUCAAUUCUGCUUACCUGCCAGGAUGUAGGCUUCUACGGGUCGGGUCGCUGGAAGCUUUGAGCAGCUCAAGGCCUGGAGCAGUGGCUACUGGGACCACACCACAAAGGCCCUGCACAAAAGCUGUUCUGUCGGGCAGAAGAGGUAGAGAUGGGGACACAGCCACAAGAUGCCACUCUUCAGAGUCUCUGGACCUGGUGUGAUGCCCUCUCCUCUGCGCGCUCAAUUUACAGGCUGGUGAUUCAGGAUGAAGAUGGCACCAGGCCUUGCAGAGCUCAGGACUCUCAGACUGUCCUGAGGAUAGUCAACACUCCUGUUACCAUAGCCACAUUCAAGCCACCAGACUCCACGGUCAACUGCUUUCCCACAGAUUUCUUUGCCACAUGGCCUCUAGCAGAUGUUUCUCCCAAGCUUCACCAGUAAAGCUGCCUCCUCUAGUUACAGCCUGGCCUUCUUAAAGGCCAGAGUCGCCCGCCAGCGUGUCACUCGGACAGCACCAGUGUCUGAAGCCCAUAGUAAAUAUUAGCACUUGUCCCAUUCACAGACGUUACUACGGCCUUUCAAAAGGGGCCUAUGAGACUCUCCCCAAACCUUAUCAAAGACCAACUCUUGGGCUGGCGAGAUGGUGCAGCCAGUAAACGAACUUGCUG